UGAACGCUGGCGGCAUGCCUUACACAUGCAAGUCGAACGGCAGCACGGGAGCAAUCCUGGUGGCGAGUGGCGAACGGGUGAGUAAUGCAUCGGAACGUGCCCAGUCGUGGGGGAUAACGCAGCGAAAGCUGCGCUAAUACCGCAUACGAUCUGUGGAUGAAAGCGGGGGACCGUAAGGCCUCGCGCGAUUGGAGCGGCCGAUGUCAGAUUAGGUUGUUGGUGAGGUAAAGGCUCACCAAGCCGACGAUCUGUAGCUGGUCUGAGAGGACGACCAGCCACACUGGGACUGAGACACGGCCCAGACUCCUACGGGAGGC
rnacentral:rRNA from 1 species